AAAAUAGGACCCAUUAUCUGAAUUUUCUUUUAAUUUUAAUUUUUUUAAUACGAAAAAUUGUGAAUUUACCAUAUUAUCUUCAUUUAAUUAAUAAUUUCAAUUCUUAAUGUUUGCAUUAACCAAGGACAUUUUCUGGUAUUUUGAAUGUUUCACCGUUCUCUAUCUUUUGCUUUAUAUAUAUAGAUAAAUGCUAAUUUUGCUAUAUAUAAAAAAUAAAAUAAAAACCGGCUUAAUAAGUUUCAACAAUCCAGCCAUGAUGUGUAAUUUGGAAUUACUAAAUCGAUGCACUGUAAUUUAUGUCUGGUAGGUAUUUUGGGUGCUUAGGGUUGAUUCAUAAAUUCAUAAAUUCAUUAAUUUAUUGACAAGAAAGGCGCAACUGGCCACUGUCAGGAAGAAGAAAGGCGCGCUUUUUCGAAACAGGCUCGACGUGACACUUGGGCUAAGGGGAACUACAGCCUACCCAUUUUUACCGUGAGCUUGCUUUUUCUCUUUAGCCGUUCAGAUAAUUUGGAUGGAUGGAUUUGGUUCUCAUAUAACGUUCGCACAUAAGCGUUCUCACUAAAUAACCGCCCAACUAUUAUUUACUUUACCUAGAUUUCGAUAAUACCACUAUGCCUACAACCA
rnacentral:lncRNA from 1 species